GUACACGCUGUGACUAGCAUAUCAAUAAGCGGAGGAAAAGAAACUAACAAGGAUUCCCCUAGUAACGGCGAGUGAAGCGGGAAGAGCUCAAAUUUGAAAUCUUAAAGGGUUUCCCUUUACGAAUUGUAGUUUAAAGAAGUGUUUUCUGUUGAGGUUUUGGUAAAAGUUCUUUGGAAUAGGACAUCAUAGAGGGUGAGAAUCCCGUAUUUGACCUUUACUUUCAACUUUGUGAUACACUUUCAAAGAGUCGGAUUGUUUGGGAAUGCAGUCCAAAAUGGGUGGUAAAUUUCAUCUAAAGCUAAAUAUUGGCGAGAGACCGAUAGCGAACAAGUACCGUGAGGGAAAGAUGAAAAGAACUUUGAAAAGAGAGUUAAACAGUACGUGAAAUUGUCAAAAGGGAAGCGUUUGACACCAGUGUUGUUUUUCUGAAAAUCAAUUAAAGAACUGUUUAUGCUAAGCUGUUUAGACUUUAUCAGCUAACUGUUUAGUUUUGAGCUUUUCUUUAAUGCACUUUUCAGUUAACAAGUCAACAUCAAUUUCUUUUGCUGUAAAAAAGCUUGAGGAAGGUGGCUUGAGAUUCGUCUUAAGUGUUUAUAGCCUCUUGCCUAUGCAGUCGGAGAGAUUGAGGUCUGCAGCGUAGAUCCUUCGGGGCUAAAUGCAUUUGUGCUAAGUUAUAGCAUUUUAUAGACAACUUGUUGACUAUGAUUUGUCUUGUAGCUUACUCGCUUAUGUUAUUUUACCUACGCUUAGGAUGUUGAGCGCAUGAGAUAUACGC
rnacentral:rRNA from 1 species